rnacentral:sRNA from 1 species
AAGUUAUUGCCUCCUAUAGUCGUUGAGUAUCUACACCCUCUGAUAUAUUUGA